UUUCUAGAGUCCAACCAAAGGUUGAACCAGCAACAGCCUGGACCCCACAAUGUAGUUAGUGUUAGGAAAUGAUCCGUGCAAUGCAUCAAAUGCCUGGUUGAGAAAAUACCUAUCAACUUGAUGCCGUGACCCGGAUUUCAACAUACCAGUUCACUGACAGACGAAGAACGACGCGCUGAAAACCGUGCACAGCCAGAGUCAACAGGAAGUCCCGGGAAGUAACUUCUUCGCCGGGCCAGCGCCCUGUGUCCACCUUUAUCUGCCAACAGCGGAUCGAUGAGAUCCGACCGGACAAGACGAACCGACAGAAACAUGAGUUGGAAAAGCUCUAUUAAUUGGGUUCGAGUUUGAAACAUGAAAUUAUUAUGUUAAAAGUACAUGAUGUUCUUUUGUUAAUGUAAUAAAACCCGAAGUUAAGUUUUUUGAGUGUACAUCAAUUACAUAAAUGUGACCAAACAUAAAAAAAUGUUUGUACUGCAUGACCAGUCUAUGUUAAAAACAAUCCUCAAGGAAACAUGAGACCAAAAAGAGGAAGUUUCCCAAAACCUUCUUAUCUGUCCCAAACAAUUCAUAUGGAUUUUAUUGAACUUACACAAAGUGGAUCAUAUAAAUAUUGUUUGGUAAUGAUUGAUGCAUUUUCUAAAUGGGUUUAAAUACACACAGAUGCUUUGACAGUAGCUAAAGCUAUUUGUAAAACUAUUAUUCCAACACAUGGAAUAUCACAAACUAUUUAUAGUGAUAAUGGGCCACAUUUUGUAAACAAGGUGAUACAAAAUAUGGCUACUCAUGGAAUGACAUUGAAAAACCACUGUGCCUAUCACCCUCAGAGUGCAGGCCUAGUGAAAGAACAAAUGGAACAGUGAGAAGCAGAUUAAGAAAAUGUAUGGAAACAACUAACAGACUGUGGCCAGAAUGUUUAGAUUUGGUAAAGUUGUACAUGAGAAUUACACCCACACAGGAAGGGUUAACUCCAUUUGAAAUAAUUCAUCGAAGACCAAACAAAAAUUACCUAUACUUUCUGCAGAUUUACAGAAAGCAGAUGAGGUGCAAACAAGCAGAUUAUAUGAUCAGGACUCUGAAACAGAAAGUUGUCCAAUGCAAAUUUACUGCCCUCUGACUCUCAUCUCCCACAGGAAAACACUCCCAUCAAGCCAGGAGACUGGGUCUACAUUAAAGUCAUAAAAAGAAAGAACUGGGCCAGUCCAUGGUGGAAGGGACUAUUCCAAGUGCUGAUAACUACACCAACCGCAGUAAAGAUUGCUGAGAGACCUAGUUGGAAGCAUCUGAGUCACUGGUAGUUCGUCUCAACGUCAGUGAAGAGAUCGACAAAUCCUCACUCUGCUAGCCUGGGGGUCCUGACAUCUCUGUAUUUCUGAGCAGCAAUGGGGCUCCCACCUGCCCAGUGAAUCCUCUGCUGUGUGGUGACUGCAGCAUGUCUACUGCUUUGGACAGAGAGUGGCCUCGCCCCAACAGGACAAGGAGAGAAGCAGAUGCAUCCUCCUUCCAGACUCAUCCACAUGACUACAGCACCAGUCUGUGGUGGCAACUGAUGAAUAGGACUGCAUAUGAAGGAAAUGAGACCAACUGCUAUGUGUGUGCACAGCUACCCUACUCC